AAAUUUCAAAAUACAACAGGAUAGAUGAUUAAUGUAGUAGCAGGAUACUACUACAGAAGUUAAAUAAUCCUGUAACGUUUCAUAAAAUGUUGGGAUUUGCCUAGACCUUAAUGUGGGCAGCAGGUGUGAUGAGAUGCUCUCACUGAGCCAUACAGGGCCUUUCUAUAUUAACCGGUUCUCAGACUUUUUCACACUGAUGAGGUUGCCCUAGCUAGAAAGCCAAGGUUCUUUCAUUUCUUUCUUCCCCUCUCUUUUGCCUUCCUUCAGCACCAAGGAGAGUGGUCCAGCAGCAGCUCAGUCCAUGCUUGUCAAGAGCCCACCUCCAUACAUUGCAGCUUUGGUCCACAUUUCCCAAGCCUCCUUGUGGGAUUCCUCAGCAUCACCAGUGCACUGACUGUCUCUUUGUGUUCUCCUAGCUCCUGUUCAAGACCCAAUGGGGUGCACAAGUCAAAAGCUUCAGGAGGAGAUGUCACCUGACUUAGAAAACGCUACAAGUGAAUAUCACCACACUCCUGUUGACAACCCAGAGGAGUGUACACUUGGCAGUGAGGAGGAGGAGGUGGCCUCUGAUACGGAGAAGCCUGCGGCCCUCUUUCACCGCCGUCCUGUUAAGAUCCUACAGGACCUCAUAAUAGAAGACAUCGAAGAUUCCGAGAUGCCCCCUGAUGUGGAGGAGCGUGCGGCCCAGUGUCACCAUCGUCCUGUUGAGAUCCUACAGGACCUCAUAAUAGAAGACAUCGAAGAUUCCGAGCUGCACCCUGAUGUGGAGGAGCGUGCGGCCCAGUAUCACCAUCGUCCUGUUGAGAUCCUACAGGACCUCAUAAUAGAAGACAUCGAAGAUUCCGAGAUGCCCCCUGAUGUGCAGGAGGAGCGUGCGGCCCAGUAUCACCAUCGUCCUGUUGAGAUCCUGCAGGACCUCAUAAUAGAAGACAUCGAAGAUUCCGAGCUGCACCCUGAUGUGGUAAGAUGCAUGUCUUUGUCUCGAAGAGUAAUAUUUUUCUCUGGGGCCUCUGGAAUAUCAAGUGAAUAUCAUUUUUGACUGCCAUUGUGAAUCAGUCCUCAGUUGUCCUGCACUCUAGCGACCAGUCAGUGGAGUUUCUGACCAACCGAGGCCUGAUUGAUGUGACCAUGUCAGUCAAAAGAUGGCAUAACUUACAACCUGGUAGUGGGCAUAUUUCUCAGUAGCAACAUUUUCUUCUUGAAAAAUAAUUUUGUAUUUCCCAACCAGCAUAGACACUUGCUAAAUAUUCCAAAUUAACUGCAUUUUCUGCAGGCAUCUCCUGUGCUCCAUUUGGGGCUUGUGACUUUAUCACUGUUCGACAUCUGGUUUAUUUUUUUAGUUUAGUUUUGUUUUUGAGACAGAGUCUCUCUGUCUCCAGGCUACAGUGCAGUGGUGUGAUCUCAGAUCUCUGCAGCGUCCACGUACUGCAUUCAAGCAUUUCUUUUGCCUCAGCCUCCCAAGUAGCUGGGAUUACAGACACGCACCACUGUGCCCAGCUAAUUUUUUUUUUGUAUAUUUAGUAGAGAUGGGGUUUCACCAUGUCGACCAGGAUGGUCUCAAUCUCUUGACCUAGUGAUCCACCCAGUUCGGCCUCCCAAAGUGCUGGGACUAUAGACUUCAGCCACUGCACCCGGUCUAGAAUUAUGCAAUAUUAUAAUCAGUCCCAAAAGUUCUAUUGUGCUUCUUCUGUGUUCUUACCCCCACUGACCAGUAACCAGUGUUCUUAAUUUUUUUCAUUAUAAAUUUUUUUUUCCUAUUCUAGAUUUCAUAUAAAUAUAACCUUGAAGUCUAGGUUUUUCUUUUCUUGUGAGGCUUAUUUCACUCUGCAUAAUGUUUUUGUGAUUUUUCUAUGCUGUAUGAAUCAGUAGUUUGUUGUUUUUCCUUUCUAAUUAAAGUAGUCUGUUUUAUGAAUAAACCACAAUUCACCACUUAUCCA
rnacentral:lncRNA from 13 species